rnacentral:tRNA from 1 species
UAAGGUAUCGCCAAGUGGUAAGGCGCCAGGCUUUGAACCUGGCACACGCAGGUUCGAUCCCUGCUACCUUAA